GCAUUUGAAGCGUGUUCUCUGCGUGCACAACAGUUACAAUUCGCGCGCACUCUGAAAUUUGGGUUCGCGGAGCUGGUUGUAAUCGAAGGUAAGUGUUGUUUUCCGACUGUUUUUUGAUUUGUCAAGCGUGAAGAUAUACGUGUGUUGGCCUUGUGUUUUAUCUUUAGAGCUUGCAUACGCUAGGCGGGAAGCGCGCGACAUGGAAAGCGAAUACGAGAGUAAGUUAUCGUUGCAUUUAUCAUUCUUCCACGUUUGUUGUGUUCAUCUGCCUUUUGUAAUGUGCAGUGCGAUGCUAUACUUUAGACGUCACCCGCUUAAACAGCACGACAAAAGUGAGUUUACCGGUUACCACGUGGUUCACCAAGUGGUUUACCACUCUUCUAGUCGCCUAAAGAUGGCUUCCAUGUCGAGAUCGACUGCUGAUCAGUCACGCCGUGCAGGCCGAUGUGCGCGCAAUCUUGGUAGCUGCUGGCGAAUCUUUUAACGCGAAGGAGAAUCUUUCACGUGCCGCUUUUACCUCCAAUCAGCCAGAAGUUCCCGAACCACCUCUGAACCGUUCGCUCAGCCAAGUUGCGAGUGCCGGCAUUUAUGGCCGCGUGCAGCCAGAAGUGUCCGAACCACCUUUGAACCGUUCCCUCGGCGAAGUUGCCAGUGCCGGCAUUUAUGGCGGCAUGCUGUAAUCUUGCGACUAGGAGUACCAUACUGGUGACAACAUGCACAGCGUUCCCGUGGAACCCGAUAACGUGCCCGACGGGUGCCACAGAUGCCUUAGCCUACACAGCAGGACACUGCAACAGAUUCUAACUCAAGUAUAUUGAAAGAACUGGAUAUCGCAUCGUUGAGAGAAGACUUGUGACAAUGAAGCUUAGAGUCAAGUGUGCCUCACGAUGCCGUCAUAAAUCUGUUAAAGGUUCUUCGCUCGUAUUCUUGCAUGUGUGAGCUACCAAGUAGCGCCAGGGUGCUUUUGUCCACACCAAGAGUGCCAAAUGUCACACUACUGCUGGAUUCUGGACAUUAUUGUCAUUUUGGUUUGCGUGAAGGGCUUCAAUCUGCUCUCAGACAUGUUUACCAUGUGCCCAAUGCCUGUGGUCUGUUUUAUGUUCAGGCUCAUCGCACAUACCAGUACCCUCAACUCUUACUGCGGCUGCAGGACCACACACGGAACCACGCAUGUUUGGUGCUUUGCACAUGUUGGAAGCUGCCAACUCUUUUACGGAACUGCAAUCCCAUGGCUCAUCGCACAUACCAGUAUCCUCAACUCUUGCUGUGGCUGCAUGGCCACACAUGGAACCGAGCAUGCUUGAUUCAUCUUACAGUCCUGGACCUGCAUAUCUGACCGGGGCUACAAGGUCACAAACAGACCCACAAGUGCUCGCUUUCAUGGAAAGGAUACAACAUGUGUUAAAUAGCAUGAAGCACACCCAGCAAGCCCAUUUGCAAUAUUUCAGCGAGCUGCUAAGUAAUGCCGACAGUGCAGCUCCGCACCCUCAUGGCCUCCCAGACCUGCCUUUCUCGAAUGUGGCGGAUGUUCUUGCGUAUGAAGAGAAGCUCGAGACAGACAGCAAAGCUCAUGAUCAAAUGAAAAAGCACAUGGCUGUACAAGGGGGAGAUUCGACGAAACAGAAAAGAACAUGUGUACUGCAGUCCCUCCUCAGCUGGAAUGCUGCAGUGGGCUUCAGUUGGUUUGGCACAAAGUGAAAGAAAAUUCUGUGAACUGCACCUCUGCAAGCUGAUGUGCAGUGAGUCAGGCGUGUUGACUAAUGACAUCCGAAACCCGAAUGCGACCCUGAAGGAUGUGGAGAAGGCUGCGAUGACC
rnacentral:misc_RNA from 1 species